UACGUAGGUGGCAAGCGUUGUCCGGAAUUAUUGGGCGUAAAGCGCGCGCAGGCGGUCCUUUAAGUCUGAUGUGAAAGCCCACGGCUCAACCGUGGAGGGUCAUUGGAAACUGGGGGACUUGAGUGCAGGAGAGAAGAGUGGAAUUCCACGUGUAGCGGUGAAAUGCGUAGAGAUGUGGAGGAACACCAGUGGCGAAGGCGGCUCUUUGGACUGUAACUGACGCUGAGGCGCGAAAGCGUGGGGAGCAAACAGG
rnacentral:rRNA from 1 species